rnacentral:tRNA from 1 species
GUCUCUGUGGCUCAGUUGGUAGAGCGUUGGUCUCAUAUUCACUACGUUGAAAUGACUCUGGAACAACAUUCCAAGGACAUCCAAAGGUCGCAAGUUCGAGCCUUGCCAGGGACA